rnacentral:rRNA from 1 species
CAGCAGUAGGGAAUCUUCCGCAAUGGACGAAAGUCUGACGGAGCAACGCCGCGUGAGUGAAGAAGGCCUUCGGGUCGUAAAGCUCUGUUGCCGGGGAAGAACAAGUGCCGUUCGAACAGGGCGGUGCCUUGACGGUACCCGGCCAGAAAGCCACGGCUAACUACGUGCCAGCAGCCGCGGUAAUACGUAGGUGGCAAGCGUUGUCCGGAAUUAUUGGGCGUAAAGCGCGCGCAGGCGGCUUCUUAAGUCUGAUGUGAAAUCUUGCGGCUCAACCGCAAGCGGUCAUUGGAAACUGGGAGGCUUGAGUGCAGAAGAGGAGAGUGGAAUUCCACGUGUAGCGGUGAAAUGCGUAGAGAUGUGGAGGAACACCAGUGGCGAAGGCGGCUCUCUGGUCUGUAACUGACGCUGAGGCGCGAAAGCGUGGGGAGCAAACAGGAUUAGA